UUCUGUGGUGUGUAAGCUGGUGCCAGUUUAGAGAGCAAGGAAGCCAAUAGGAAGUCUGGCAACAGCGGAUGACGGAGUAGAUGGGGAAUAUCUUUUCCGUCCUCUCCACGGCCCACGCCAUGUUCUUCAACUGACGGUAGCGGGACUGAGCAGAUGUGCUGGUUAUCUUCAGGUAAAUAAUGGUGCACACCCAUCAUUUGCUCCCACAUGGAAUGUGGAGAGGAUGGACAUAAGUUACUCAAUGAUAAUGGAGUCUGAUCUCGUUACAAAAAUUGGUGAGCGUUCCAAGGGAUGUACUGUGCCAUGAAACAUGAGUGGUUUUCUGUCCGAACGAAGCAGCUGGAAGUUAGCACAUGGGGAAAUAUUGUUGAGGAUAGAAAGUUAUAAGGUGUAAGCCACUCGAGGAGAUCUGAACAGUUAAUAAAUGCUGUGGAGUUCUUUAAAAGGUCAGUGCCUGUGGCUUUAGGAGGUGAGAUUAAGAUAACAGCUUCGGAUCAAAAUGGAGUGGUGUGAAUAGUUGUGGCUUUAUUGAAUUAACUGACAACCUAGUUAGGGAAAAGGGAGGCUUCUUAAUGCACAGGACUACCGGGGGUUGGGCCUACAAGGUGAGAAAUGGAAUGAGGCUGACAGUACUGUGAAAAAUCCCUUCUACAGGGUGUCCAGAAAAGGACUCCCUGAUUUCAAAAUUAAACAUCUCGAAAACAAAGAUCGAUAGAGGAAUGCAGUAAACAGUAUGUUUAUUGUGAAAGCUGUAAGUUUAUACAGCAGUUUGAAAUAAUAGUUGCAAAAGCUGCUAACCGAUGGCACUGUAAUCGCCAUACGUAAUGCCUAGUAUAAAUAGUGAUCUGAAGCCCAGUGAUCAGUUCCACUAUUGAAACGUGAAAGGAGGUUGGGAAGAGAUUAAAACCAUGUACUCCAUUGAACAAUGCGUUUUUCUGGUGCUAGAGUACCACAAGUUUUUGGGCACGAUUUAAUGUUCCAAAAGGACCCGACGCAAAAACCAUUUGUACGCUCUUCAGAAAAUUUCAACGAACAGGCAGCGUAACUGAUCUAGUGGGGCGGCAUGUUGGCCGCAAGCAAACUGCAGUUACGCCUCAAAAAUAUCGCCACUGUUUCUGGAAUUAUUCAUCGAAAUCCAAUGUCAUCCGUCUGUAGAAUUGCAUCUGAGACUGGUUUGAAGCGUUCCAGCCCAUAGAAAAUUCUGAGAGAGCCUACAUGUUUCUGUUCAAAACUCAAACGCACCAGCCCAUACCCGUUGCUAAUCAGAUGCUCACAAUGAUUGAUAGUGAAGGGUUUGAUGUUGGCUGCAUCUGGUUUACAGGUGAAGCACACUUCCACCUGAACGGAUAUGUGAAUAAGCAGAACUGGCGAUUUUGGGAUUCUGUGAUUAUUUCACUUAUGUAUGCUGAUAUGAGCUGUACAGCGUACAGUGCCAUCUGUUAGCAGCUUUUGUAAUUAUUAUUUCAAACUGCUGUAUAACCUUUUUACAGCUUUCACAACAAACAUACCGUUUACUGCACAUUCCUCUAUUGAUCUUUGUUUUCGAGAUGUUUAAUUUUGAAAUCAGGUAGCCCUUUUCUGGACACCCUGUAUAUGAUCAGCUCCAUAUGGCCAUCCUGUGAUUUUUGAAACUGCCAUCAGAACUUUUUAUAAGUGGAACAUUUGAAUCUAGAGCAACAUUAUUCCUUAAAGUUGUGUUCAACUUGGAAUCUAUUUCUUAUAAAGCACAUCAUUUUGGAACAUUCAAAAGAAGUGACCAAUGUGUAUUACUGGUACCAAGGCUGGGAACUAUGACUGCUGGUGAACAGCUGCCAAUGGGAACUAAUUUGAAGGGGAUAAUAUAGUUGUAUAAAAAUUCAUGUUUUAUUAAAUAUGUUGUCAGUACCUGUAAGAUUUCAAAAUAAAGUGUGAUGACUCCAGUA